AUUCAACUGACGAAUCCUAAAUAGGACGAAACGUGCUUCCUGGAU
rfam:Schistosoma curassoni strain Dakar, Senegal genome assembly, scaffold: SCTD_scaffold0003936